CCGCGAUGGUUGCUAUCCCAUCGACGUUGAGUUCCUUUUGUCACCAAUUGAACUGUCAUCGUGGAGUUGGUGAUGAGCGUUUUUGCCCUUAUGGUUUUUUUUUUCCUCUUUAGGGCACAUGAUGGUGCUUUGCUUUCUUACGGCACGGGGAGACCGGAUUUGCUUAGGGGCGAUGGUUAGGCCGGAGCUUCUGAAGCCUUUCCUUUCUCCGUUGCCGUUUCGUUGGUUUUUUUUUCUUUUCUUUUCUCUUUGCGGUUUUUAGACGAGUACUCUUUUUCCUAAUUAUGAUUUUUUUCAUGGGGUUUUCCAUAACAAGGUUUUAAUGAGACUCGACCCUUAGUUUGCUUUCCUGUGCAUUCAAGGGUUUCUUUUAGGUCUUUUUUCCUAUAAUAAAAUCGUGUUUUAAUAAAUUUAUUUAUCAUUAAAGUAAAAGGUAGUAGUGGAAAAUAGUAGAAUUACCUUUUGUAGAAAUUAAGGGAAGAGAAUGAAUGAAUUUAAAGGGAGAAUUUUCUUA
rnacentral:lncRNA from 1 species